GCUAUGUAGCUCAGCUGGUUAGAGCACAUCACUCAUAAUGAUGGGGUCGCAGGUUCGAGUCCCGCCAUAGCC
rnacentral:tRNA from 1 species